CACACCCAAGCCAACUUCACGGCAAUGCGCGCGUCGACCAAUCACUAAACGGCGUCGCAUCGCCAUAUUGAAUGACGCGAUCAAGUCGCCCUCUGUAUCAACAAAUGUGGAAUGAAUGGUGUCUCUGUGUUUUUCGCAUUGUUUUUAGAUAAAAUACGCUGCCAAGUCUUAGCCGAACAAAAGAAGCGAAACGAAAGCGGAGAUUUACUGUGGAAAUUUUGGAAGUCAGCCGGCACUGCGUUGUGGUGGCUUGCAUUAAUCACGCGAUGGAAAAAUAUCUCGAUUUUCAACAAACUUCUGUAAGGAGCCCGAUGGUACGUUUGAGAAGUUAAAAAGUGCCUUGGAAUGAAUCAUGGCGUGCGAUCCCCAUGAAAUAUUACACCCAAGCUGGCACCAUAAAGCAAACGGCGUGGCACAGCCGAUACAACGAUAGCGACACUACGAACUCGACAGACACCAGAGAACUCGACGUUCUGAAUGCAUAUACAGGCAAUUCAAAAACAGUUUGAAAGGGCUUGCUACGUCGGUUCAGGCAUGUGGAACAAAUGUCAGAUUAACAGACACUACAAUGCGAAAGUAGGACAAUGCAAGUAUCUACUGAGGAAGCCUCCGCUGGCCUGUAAUGAUAAGAGAAAUGGUGUACUACUAUCUAUGUGAAGGAAAUAUCAAGUUUUCAAGAACCGAUAUGUCGAUGAAAUUGAUACAAUAACCAUACAAGAACAAAGAAUUCAGAUUGAAGUCAACUAUAUUAUGUAUCCAAGAAAUAUAAUUCAUGUUAAGUUCAUAAAUUCAACCAUAUGUGGCUAUUGAAAUUGUGAUGUUUGAGAAAACAUCCGAAGCAGUCGUAAUAAAUCACGUUUUUGUCCACGGAACAUCUACCGGAGCGAUAUAUCUUAAAGAGUUGCAAUGUAUCAGUGCGGCACAGUCAAGCCCGCCCCUGGUCUCACAAUGGCAAAUUACUGAUCUUUGACAUCUGCAGGAACAAUGGGGCGACGCAGCCAGCGAUUUAUGAUGUGCGGAGACUGUCGCGGUUUCAAUAAUUCUGCGCAAACGCAACUCCACGGCCACGUGAGCUGACGUAUGGAAUUUAAAUAUGCGUUUGAAGUACGCCAAUGUUCUCUAAUGGAGUUCACAUAAAAAAGAAAGUACACACACAUAGAAGGUAGCCGGGAUUUAUAUUUAUCACUUCACAGCUGCACACCUAUGAUCGAUCUUUAUCCAAGAUGGCCGACGGCGCGCCGCACAACCUGGCGGGAAACAAGCGCGGGCGCACCUCCUACAUAGCGGAUCAUCUUCGACGUUAUAAUUUCAAAAAUUGAUUAUAGAAUAGAAUACACAAUUAUUUAAAAAUUUUCUACUGACACAACAAACGUGCAAUCUCACAGACGGUGUGCGUUGUACUAAAAAUUAAAAAAGCAUUCUUUAAACGUAUUCAAAACUUGAAAACCAUAAAACAUAUCUCCCCCAUUAUUAGUUUAUGGCUUGCGACUGUUACCAAGCUAUUAUGCUGAUAUUUCUGUGUGUAUUGAUGUUUGUUUUUAUUGUGUGCGGUGGACGAACGAGCCAAUUUAGGGUACCAUUACAAAAUGCUUCUAUUGAGCAACUAAACUAAACAUCCCGUUACGUACCUUUUUAUUAUACACAUUUCACUUGCCUUUGUGCGGUGAUUACAAAAAUGUUAUUGUUUUAUUGCGUACCUACUGUUAUUCAUAGUUAUUUUUUACUAGUCGUACUCAAAACGUCCUUCGCGCGACGGUUUUUUUAUACCAUAGUAUUGAGGCAUUUUAGAGGUUUCAAAAAACAACCGAUAUGUCGAAACAGAUAUUGAGUUGUUACCAUGCCAGUUUUCAUCAAAGUCCGUCUAGUGGUUUUUAUGUAACUUAUACACAAAUAUGAUACGUGUAAAAUAUAUUAUGGAAACAAAAUAAAAAUUUAUGAUAUCAUGACAUAGUGUUUAUUUUUUAUUUUAUUUAGUAUUCUAAA